rnacentral:rRNA from 1 species
AUCAGCGACCGCACCGCGUAGCCAGCAACUGUGCUCAUCCGAUCACCGAAUUUAAAGUAGGUUGGACCCGGUUAUACUUGUAUGGAUGGCCGGCUGGGAAUACCGAGUAUUGCUGACA